rnacentral:rRNA from 1 species
UACGUAGGGUGCAAGCGUUGUCCGGAAUUAUUGGGCGUAAAGAGCUCGUAGGCGGUCUGUCGCGUCUGCUGUGAAAACUCAGGGCUUAACCCUGAGCUUGCAGUGGGUACGGGCAGACUAGAGUGCGGUAGGGGAGACUGGAAUUCCUGGUGUAGCGGUGAAAUGCGCAGAUAUCAGGAGGAACACCGGUGGCGAAGGCGGGGUCUCUGGGCCGUAACUGACGCUGGAGGA